CCGGGGUCCCGAGCGCGGCCGGCGGGGGAGGGUCGGGCGCUUGAGGGGAAGCUGCUGCCUCUGCGAAGUCGGCGUCAGAAAACCGCUGGAAGGUGGUGGCGGGGCAGCGUGGGCGUCUUACUGCUUCCCGCGAAAAAUGUCCUCAGACUCACGGACCGAAGUGUGUGGAGCCUUGGCGCUUUCACAAGUGCUUUGGUCACGAAAUGAGGUACUGAGAAUUGGGGCCUUUUGAGCCGCCCGGACCGACAAAUUCCCUACGUUUUUCUCCCUUCAUAGAGGCCCCCUCAGAGCCUCUGUGGAAGUGUCUCCAAGGAACCUUCUCGACCCUUCCUCGGUCAGAAUCGCUUGUUUCCUGUUCCCGAGAUGGCGCCACAGCACCGGGGAGUUGGGAGAGUUCAACUGCCCCCCAAACACAGGAAGACAAUGCCCUGAACCCCUCUUCCCGCUAGACUGGUUGCCCUUGAACCCACAGAAAUUCUGAACCAGCUCUCCUGGCCCUGGGGUGGUUCAUAGGUUUGACCCCCAAUGCGUGGCUGUCAGGUGAUGUUCCCCAAAGUGAACUUGUCAAAUUCCCGACUUCACAGUCACACCGUGUUCUCUGGGGCUGUUCAUGGAGCAGUAACGCCCUGGAAGUAAUUUUUGUAUUUGGUCCCAUGGCUACAAGGGCUUUGGUCUUAGGAGCGAUCGAGGACAGAUUGAGAGCUGAAAGAUCAUUUUCAGUUCAUCUCUCCCUCCUGAAGACAACAUCCUGGCAAAGGAAGGACAGCACGCGUGGAAGCAAGGAUUCCUCGUGUGUCUCCAAGUUUAAGUGAACGAAUCCAGAAGUAUGUAGAGUUGGUACCCAGAGUCUAAAUACCUACCGUGUUUUAUUCAGAUCCCACCUCUUUACAAAGGACAGUUCCUUCUUUGAGGGAGUUUAUAAUCCGGGCAGAUGAGAGUGACACGUGCAAAUCAGUAACACCAGGCUCUUUAUGAUAAAUGACAAGCAGCUUCUGGCCUUCUGACUUGAACCAGGAUAUUGGCUCUGCAGAUUUUUUACUUGCCAGCCUUCAUAAUCAUUUAUCGUUAGUGGGAGAGUUGUCUGUCACCUUAGUCCUCCAUUACCAGAAUCAUUUGUGGUCUGCUGUUGUGAUCUGUGUCACCCUGGAAGAAAACAGAGAGGGUGAGAAGACCCUUGUGGGCCAGAGCUGGGAAUUCUGACAUCUUUGACCCCUUCUUGCCAGAAAGACAGCACCCUCAGGUUCCAGGGCUGCUUCUGCACAGGUUUCCUUCCUUGUAAUGGACACCACUGGGCCAUACCUGGCUCAUUCUCUGCUAGGUUGUAAGGGUUUAGGGACACCUUCUUUGGGCCUGGCAUGCCCAUGUAGGCCUGAACUCUAGUCGGGCCAUUGAGAGGGCCAGAGUGUGAUGCCCUGGGAUGCAAUGCUCACCAUGCACUUGUCUGCAAUGUCUCAUGAGGGGCCAAGAGGCUUGUUUUGCCAACUUGAUGUGUCUUCCCAAGAAAGAAAAGCUACUACUCAUCACAUCCCACAAAUGGAUUUUAAAAAUUAGCAAGAUUUCCUCAUGGAGAUUAUGGAAUACUUGCUCCCAACAGGGCCCUUCACACACACACCCUCACACCUGUCCCACCAGCUUUGUCUCCCACCCUGUCCAGCACUCUGACCUCAUCCUGAGCCCCUCUUCUCCAGUCAUGCUGUACCCUUGUGCACAUCCCACCUCUGCACUUUUGCAUGUGUUGGGCCUUCUAUCUGGAAUUCCCUUCUUUCCCUCUCUACCUGGUGAGGGAUCCAUUUUAUUUAUUCUUUUUAAUUUCGUUUCUAUUAUUUUUACUUUUCAUUUUUGUUUAUUUUAAUUACUAUCUGAGAUGAAUACUUUUAUAAAAUACACUGACCAUGCACUUAGAUGUCAUGGCAGCAUCCAAUUGCUCUCGAAAUUUCUAAACGCUUCCUCUCAGUUUCUGCAGUGGGUACCACCCACUGAGUGGCGCUGCUCUAGACUCUCAUACGGGUCAUGUCCUCCAUGGAGCUGCUCCCUAGCCACCUCAGGUCGAACCAGUCGUUCCUCCCCUGGAAUUCCCUCCGGUGAGAAGCAAACACUGCAGAACAGUCGCUCACAGCCUUGUGAUUGCUGUGUGCGUCUGCCUCUCCGCUGGAUUCUGAGCUCCACGAGGGAGGAUGUUGUUUCUUAUUCAUCUCUGUAUCCCAGAGCACAGGCCUAGUCCAUAUUCAGAGCUUGGUCAGUAUUUGUGAUUGAAGAUAAUGCCACUUUGGAAAACUAAAUUCCUGUGGGAUUUUGGCUUAGUGCUAACCCAUGUACUAGUUUGCUUGCAAUAUCUCAUGGCCACAAUGGCAUAUCUGUGACUGAUAAGGGGGAAAUAGGGUAAGAGAGUGAGGAUGGACCAGGACACAGAGAGCAGACCCCAGGGGCUCUGCCUCUGGGCACCGUUGGCAGGACUGUAGCCCCUGACACGAAGACAGAGCCGUUGGACCAGGGCCAGCAGACCCCAGGAAUAAACAGUCACCAAGCUGGGGUGGGGGAUCUGCUUUACAAGGCGCUAACCCUGGGGGCGAAGACUUAGCAGGCAGAAGGAGAGGAAGGCCUCCUGAGUCUGGGCAGCGCAGGAGGCCUCAGGGGUAACCCCACGGGGGCUCAGAGGAGGGCCCUGGGGGUUUGCCCUGACCGGAGGAGUUACGUGUUAACUGUCGGCCUCAUCCAGAGGCAAGCCUCUGGUUUCCUUAGUUUCCUGAGCUGUUAUCUAAGAAUUAGAGAAUUAAAAAGAAGAUUCUGUGUCCUCUUUGGUGCUCCCUCCCUAAGCAAAUGGGGAGAAAAGGCUCAGCUUGAAUUCAGAGGUCAAUGGGGUUAUCACUUCUGGCUAAAACCCAAACUGACCUGGUCCUGAGAGAUAGAGAGCUGUGAGUGGGGAACUUUGCCCUCACCAAGGGCUGACUCAACUGGAUGCUUGAACACGAGGCCAAAAAAACAUUCCCAGAAUCUUUGGAGGUUGAACAUCAGCAAGUGGCACUGAGACUCCAAACCUCUGCCCCUCCCAACCUAAACCAAGUCCUUGAUCAUGAGUUGUCCCGGUUCACCCUAAUCAGACGGUAACCUUAUCAAUCUCCACGGUAAUUAAAAUAAAGGACAGCCUGCCUUUCCAUAGCACAGGGCUUGCAUGACCAUGGGCGUCACUGAACUUCCCUGAGCUCGUUUUCCUCACCUGAAAAUGCAGCUAUUUAUACCUACCUCACGGGAUAAAUUAGAGUGAAAAACAUGUACCACAUGUCUGGCUCUUGGGAAAGUAGAAGAAACCUGCAUUCCCUGGCUCCUGUUUCUGUAAGGGGCGAUUUCUGCUACAGCACUCGUUCUCAAACUUGCCCAUAUAUCUGAAUCACCUGGAGGGCUGGUUAAACCUCACAUGCAGGGCCCACCCCCAGAGCUUCUGCUUCAGUAGGUCUGGCGUGGAACCCAAGAAUUCGCGUUUCUAACAACUUCCUAGGUGAUGCUGAGGCGGCUGCUGGUCCAAAGGACCACAUUUGGGGAACCACUGCUCUGGAAUAGUGUUCUUUGCUUCUCACCUUUCCCUUGCUCCUCUCAUGGGAAGAGGAGUGGUUUAUCCUGUGCUUGGAAGAAGGAACAGGGAAGGCGGGGGUGAACCCCACCUGGUCUCCUUUUGGGUCUACCUGCAGGGUCGGUGAGCUCUGGUCGUUCCUGCCCUUGGAGUAGGGGCUGCUCCCCAGGGAGCAGGGCUGUGGUGGUUCAGUUCUGCAGGUACUUUUAAUUUUGGGGUGAAGUACAAGGAUGCUCAUGGUGGACACCCAUUAAUUCUCAAUCUAGAAUUGUAUCAUAAUAAAACUAGCAUUGUGACUUUUAUGUGUUUGUCUCC